rnacentral:rRNA from 1 species
CGGGGGGGGCAAGCGUUGUUCGGAUUUACUGGGCGUAAAGGGCGCGUAGGCGGCCACCGCAAGUCGACUGUGAAAUCUCCGGGCUUAACCCGGAAAGGUCAGCCGAUACUGCGGGGCUAGAGUGCAGAAGGGGCAACUGGAAUUCUCGGUGUAGCGGUGAAAUGCGUAGAUAUCGAGAGGAACACCUGCGGCGAAGGCGGGUUGCUGGGCUGACACUGACGCUGAGGCGCGAAAGCUAGGGGAGCGAACGGGAUUAGAUACCCCGGUAGUCCUAGCCUUAAACGAUGAAUGCUUGGUGUCUGGGGUUUUAUAGUCCCCGGGUGCCGUCGCUAACGCUUUAAGCAUUCCGCCUGGGGAGUACGGUCGCAAGACUG